rnacentral:rRNA from 1 species
CGCAUCUGUGCAUGCAGCAUUAUCAAUAAGCGGAGGAAAAGAAACUAACAAGGAUUCCCCUAGUAACGGCGAGUGAAGCGGGAAGAGCUCAAAUUUGAAAUCUUAAAGGGUUUCCCUUUACGAAUUGUAGUUUAAAGAAGUGUUUUCUGUUGAGGUUUUGGUAAAAGUUCUUUGGAAUAGGACAUCAUAGAGGGUGAGAAUCCCGUAUUUGACCUUUACUUUCAACUUUGUGAUACACUUUCAAAGAGUCGGAUUGUUUGGGAAUGCAGUCCAAAAUGGGUGGUAAAUUUCAUCUAAAGCUAAAUAUUGGCGAGAGACCGAUAGCGAACAAGUACCGUGAGGGAAAGAUGAAAAGAACUUUGAAAAGAGAGUUAAACAGUACGUGAAAUUGUCAAAAGGGAAGCGUUUGACACCAGUGUUGUUUUUCUGAAAAUCAAUUAAAGAACUGUUUAUGCUAAGCUGUUUAGACUUUAUCAGCUAACUGUUUAGUUUUGAGCUUUUCUUUAAUGCACUUUUCAGUUAACAAGUCAACAUCAAUUUCUUUUGCUGUAAAAAAGCUUGAGGAAGGUGGCUUGAGAUUCGUCUUAAGUGUUUAUAGCCUCUUGCCUAUGCAGUCGGAGAGAUUGAGGUCUGCAGCGUAGAUCCUUCGGGGCUAAAUGCAUUUGUGCUAAGUUAUAGCAUUUUAUAGACAACUUGUUGACUAUGAUUUGUCUUGUAGCUUACUCGCUUAUGUUAUUUUACCUACGCUUAGGAUGUUGAGUCAUCACACAUCUCU